UACGAAGGGGGCUAGCGUUGCUCGGAAUCACUGGGCGUAAAGGGUGCGUAGGCGGGGCUUUAAGGCAGGGGGGAAAUCCUGGAGCUCAACUCCAGAACUGCCUUCGAUACUGGCGAUCUUGAGUCCGGAAGAGGUGAGUGGAACUCCUAGUGUAGAGGUGGAAUUCGUAGAUAUUAGGAAGAACACCAGUGGCGAAGGCGGCUCACUGGUCCGGUACUGACGCUGAGGUGCGAAAGCGUGGGGAGCAAACAGG
rnacentral:rRNA from 1 species